rnacentral:rRNA from 1 species
UACAGAGGGUGCGAGCGUUAAUCGGAAUUACUGGGCGUAAAGCGUGCGUAGACGGCUAUCUAAGUCGGGUGUGAAAGCCCCGGGCUCAACCUGGGAAUUGCAUUCGAGACUGAAUAGCUAGGGUACGGUAGAGGGAAGCGGAAUUUCCGGUGUAGCGGUGAAAUGCGUAGAUAUCGGAAGGAACACCAGUGGCGAAAGCGGCUUCCUGGACCAGAACCGACGUUCAGGCACGAAAGCGUGGGGAGCAAACAGG